GACGAACGCUGGCGGCGUGCCUAAUACAUGCAAGUAGAACGCAGUUGCGAACGGGUGAGUAACGCGUAGGUAACUGCCUCAUAGCGGGGGAUAACUAUUGGAAACGAUAGCUAAUACCGCAUACGGGGAGAUGGACCUGCGUUGUAUUAGCUAGUUGGUGAGGUAAAGGCUCACCAAGGCGACGAUACAUAGCCGAGCUGAGAGGGAGUACGGCGAGACCGGGACUGGUACACGGCCCAGACGCCUACGAGUGGCACGAGUAGGGAAACUUCGGCAAUGGACGGAAGUCUGGACGGGCUAAGGCACGUGAGUGACGAGGGGUUUCGGGUCGUAAAGCUUUGUUGUUAGAGAAGCGGUAACUGACCAGAAAGGGACGGCUAACUACGUGCCAGCAGCCGCGGUAAUAC
rnacentral:rRNA from 1 species